rnacentral:misc_RNA from 1 species
AAAUGCGAUAAGUAAUGUGAAUUGCAGAAUUCAGUGAAUCAUCGAAUCUUUGAACGCACCUUGCGCUCCUUGGUAUUCCUUGGAGCAUGCCUGUUUGAGUAUCAUGAAAUCUUCAAAGUAAAUCUUUUGUUAACUCAAUUGGUUUCUACUUUGGUAUUGGAGGUCUUUGCAGCUUCACACCUGCUCCUCUUUGUUCAUUAGCUGGAUCUCAGUGUUAUGCUUGGUUCCACUCGGCGUGAUAAGUUAUCUAUCGCUGAGGACACUGUAAAAGGUGGCCAAGGUAAAUGCAGAUGAACCGCUUCUAAUAGUCCAUUGACUUGGACAAUACUUUUAUGAUCUGAUCUCAAAUCAGGUAGGACUACCCGCUCAACUUAAGC